AGAGAGAGAGAGAGAGAGAGAGAGAGAGAGAGAGAACGUGUUGCAUGCCUUCUCAACAGUCUUCAGGUAGGGUAGAGAUUGUCUCCACCGAAUCUCUUCUCUCACAGUUAUUUUCUGGGACACUGCACAAUACAACUUUAUUUGACGGCAGGACAUUCAGAGGCUGUAAGCUUGACACAUGGCAAAAUGCUUCUGCUGUUUCUGAGUCUCGGUUUGCUCACUUCUAAUGUCCAGUCAGAAAAACAAGGGGUUGAUGUAACGUGUGAAAAUCAAUCGGUUGUAGCAGGACAGAACCACAACCUGACAUGUAGAGUGGAAUACAGUGAUGCAUAUCAGAAUAAGAAGGGUGAUGUAGGUAACAGUGAGAUGGGAUGUAAAACUGAACAGUAUUUCUGGAAGGAUAAAUCAAAAACUCCAAUACGAAAUUGUGAUUGUACAAAAGAUUGUAACACUACGAUAACAACCAACACCUACUUUUGUGAGAUCAAAAAUGUUACCAACGCUGAUGAGGGAAACUACACUUUUACCAUUAACACAGACUGUGGCAACGGACAUGGCACAUUGACUGUUUCAUGUAAGUUACAUUGAGAAAUGAAAAACAAGCGUUUCUGGGAUCGUCAGGUCACCUAUCGUCAGUAUCAUCACUGUUCUGGGUGUUCUACUGUUUCUCAUCUUAAGACUUAAUAGUUCCUUGAGAAACAAUGACAAAGCUACCAGAGAGGCCCUAAACCAGAAGCCUGCAUAACUUUCAAUCUGGAAGAGUGGUGUGUGUGUGUGUGUGUAUGUGUGUGUGUUGGUUCUAUUAUCCUUGUGGGGACAGAAAAAUCUCAUUUACACAAGUAGUCAAACUCCUAAGUCAAUAAAUACUUUGUGGAAGCUCUUUUUGCAUUGAUUGCAGCUGUGAGUCUGUCUGGGUACGUCUCUAAGUCAAUACUUUGUGGAAGCUCCUUUGGCAUUGAAUAGAGCUGUGAAUCUGUCUGGGUACGUCUCUAAGAGAUUUCCACAUCUGGAUUGUUCAACAUUUCCUCAUUAUUCUUUUCAAAAUUCUUCAAGCUCUACCAAAUUGGCUGUUGAUCAUAGCUAGAGAACCAUUUUCAGAUCUUGCCAUAGAUUGACUGUCUUCUUGGCAACUCUAGUGUAGAUUUGGCCAUGGGUUAUUGUCCAGUUGAAAGGUGAAUUCAUCUCCCAGCGUCUAGUGUAUUGGAUUUACAUAAAAAAUAACACUUUGUAUUCAGGACAAAAACUGAAUUACUUUGCCAUGUUUUUUUGCAGUACUACAAUAGUGCCUUGUUUCAAACAUGAUGCUUGUUUUGGAAUAUUUUUAUUCUGUACAGGCUUCCUUUUCACUCAGUCAAUUAUUAUUAAUUUACCUUUAUUUAACUAGACAGGUCAGUGAUGAACAAAUUCUUAUUUACAAUGACAGUCUACCGGGGAACAGUGGGUUAACUGCCUUGUCCAGGUGCAGAACAACAGGUUUUUACCUUGUCAGCUCGGGGAUUCGAUCCAGGAACCUAUUGGUUAAUGGCACAACACUCUAACCACUAGGCUACCUGCCGCCCCACCAAACUAGUCAAGGUUAGUGUUGUGGAGUAACUACAAUGUGUUUGAUCCAUCCUCAGUGUUCUCCUAUCACAGCCAUUAAACUCUGUAACUGUUUUAAAGUCACCAUUGGCCUCAUGGUGAAAUUCAUGAGCGGCUUCCUUCCUGUCUGACAACUGAGUUAGGAAGGACACCUGUAUCUUUGUAGUGACUGGAUGUAUUGAUACACCACCCAAAGUCAAGUUAGUAACUCCACCAAGCUCAAAGGACUAUUCAAUGUCUGCUUUUUGUUUUACCCAUCUACCAAUAGGUUCCCUUUACAAGGCAUUUGGAAAACCUCCCUGGUCUUUGUGCUUGAAUCUGUGUUUGAAAUUCCCUGCUCGUCCGAGAGACCUUACAGAUAAUUGUAUGUGUGGGGUACAGAGAGGAGGUAGUCAUUAAAAAAUCAUGUUAAAACACUAUUAUUGCACACAGAGUGAGUCCAUGCAAUUUAUUAUGUGAUUUGUUAAGCAAAUGUUUACUCAUGAACUUAUUUAGACUUGUCAUAACAAAGGGGUUGAACACUUUUUUACUCAAGACAUUUAAGAUUUUUAUUUUUUUCAUUAUUUGUAAAACCUUUGAAAAACCUAAUUCCACUUUGACAUUAUGGGCUAUUGUGUGUGGACCAGUGACCCAAACAUCUCAGCUGAAUCUAUUUUCAAUUCAGGCUUUAACACAACAAAAUGUGAACAAAGUCAAGGGGUGUGAAUACUUUCUGAAGGCACUGUGUCAUGUGAUGUGUUGUAUUAUUCUGUAAAACUCACAAGCAGUGAUUUACCACUAAGAUUGGUUUGUAUAAUUGAUGUAAUAUUCUAAAUGGGAAUUUUGUUAUGAAUAUCGUUAUUGAUUUAUGUACAAAUACACUUUUGGAAAUAACCAGUCGUUAUAAUGAUACUUCUAUCAUAUAGAGCUUGUUGUCUUGUAUUUAAUUAUUAUCUACACCAAUCAUGUAUAUUUCAGACAUCACAGUACCUACCGUAGCUCGCAGGUUGACAUUUAUUUGGACUCAUGUAUGUGGAGGCAGCUCUGCAGAGUGGUCACUAGCUGGCACAACAACAAAGUCAUAAAACCGAACCAUAACUUUAACCCUAGAUAGCAUUAUUCAGAUCAACAUUUUUACAUCUACAGUGUUAAAUGUAACACUGAAAGUGUAUAUGUGACCCAUCAGAAUAGUGUUACUAAACUAACACUUUUCAAAGUGUUGACAAACUAACACUCCUAGAGCGUUGGUUCCCUAACACCAUGGGUUAUUCAGACUUUAAAACUAUUAGAGAUGAUGCUGCUACACUUUUUAGGUUAGUUCCAUAACACAGUAUUUUGGGGAGAGUGUUGUUUUUAACUCAAAUACUUAGUAAGUUCAAUGAAAAGUAAUUAUUACUUAAACGGACUCCAAACUAAAUGAGAAGUCAAAUCAACAACAUUAUGCAUGCUCUACUGCAUGUCCAUUUUUGUGAAUUGUUUCUAAAAUCUGUGUUUUUGCCAGAACAUCAAGUGAUUUAUUGAUUAAUCUUAUGCUGCACAAAGAUCAAUAAAACAUGUCUAAACUAAUCAUUUAGUUUUUUUGCACCCUUACUGAAAUGGCUGUAAUUCCUGCCAAAGAUGCUUCAACAAAGUACUGAGUAAAGGGUCUGAAU